GGUAAUUCCAUCAUCAAUAGCGUGUGGUGACUCAUAAUAACUUUACGGAUCACAUUAUGUGACAUAUCAUUCAAGUUUCUGACCUAUCCGCUUUAAACGGUAGGGUAUUGGCCUACCGUGGCUAUGACGGGUAACGUCGGGAAUUAGGGUUCGAUUCCGGAGAGGGAGCCUGAGAAACGGCUACCACAUCUAAGGAAGGCAGCAGGCGCGCAAAUUACCCAAUCCUAAUACAGGGAGGUAGUGACAAGAAAUAACAAUACAGAACCUUACGGUUUUGUAAUUGGAAUGAGUA
rnacentral:rRNA from 1 species